rnacentral:pre_miRNA from 1 species
UUUGUACUCCCUCCGUCCCAAAAUUCUUGUCUUAAAUUUGUCUAAAUAUGGAUGUAUCUAGUUACAUUUUAGUGUUAGAUACAUCUGUAUCUAAACAAAUGUAAGACAAGAAUUUUGGGACGGAGGGAAUACUAC